rnacentral:rRNA from 1 species
GAUCAUGGCUCAGGAUGGACGCUAGCUACAGGCUUAACACAUGCAAGUCGAGGGGAAACGACAUCGAAAGCUUGCUUUUGAUGGGCGUCGACCGGCGCACGGGUGGGUAACGCGUAUCCAACCUGCCCACCACUUGGGGGUAACCUUGCGAAAGUAAGACUAAUACCCAAUGAUAUCUCUAGAAGACAUCUGAAAGAGAUUAAAGAUUCAUCGGUGAUGGAUGGGGAUGCGUCUGAUUAG